ACGAUAGAGGCGCGGUUUUCAUCAGUAUCGUCUGGAAGGGGCCGUAACCCCGUUUGAUCAGACGAGAAAGGGUCUGCCGCCGAAGCCUUCUCCUUGUUACGGCAGGGCGGGCUGGACGUCGAGGAAAACAUCCCUGCGUCUGUCAUCAGCAGCAAUGCCGGUGGAGAGCUAUCCU
rnacentral:ncRNA from 1 species